GACGAACCGUGCGAACGUUGUUCGGAAUCACUGGGCUUAAAGGGCGCGUAGGCGGGCUAUCAAGUCGGGUGUGAAAGCCCUCGGCUCAACCGAGGAACUGCGCCCGAUACUGUGGGGCUCGAGGGAGACAGAGGUAAGCGGAACUGAUGGUGGAGCGGUGAAAUGCGUUGAUAUCAUCAGGAACACCAGUGGCGAAAGCGGCUUACUGGGUCUCUUCUGACGCUGAGAUACGAAAGCUAGGGGAGCGAACGG
rnacentral:rRNA from 1 species